rnacentral:rRNA from 1 species
CAGUAGCCGCGGUAAUACAGAGGGUGCGAGCGUUAAUCGGAUUUACUGGGCGUAAAGCGUGCGUAGGCGGCUUCUUAAGUCGGAUGUGAAAUCCCUGAGCUUAACUUAGGAAUUGCAUUCGAUACUGGGAAGCUAGAGUAUGGGAGAGGAUGGUAGAAUUCCAGGUGUAGCGGUGAAAUGCGUAGAGAUCUGGAGGAAUACCGAUGGCGAAGGCAGCCAUCUGGACUAAUACUGACGCUGAGGUACGAAAGCAUGGGGAGCAAACAGGAUUAGAUACCCGAGUAGUCCCUGUCUCUUAUAC